rnacentral:rRNA from 1 species
AGUGAACGCUGGCGGUAGGCCUAACACAUGCAAGUCGAACGGCAGCACAGUAAGAGCUUGCUCUUACGGGUGGCGAGUGGCGGACGUGUGAGGAAUACAUCGGAAUCUACUUUUUCGUGGGGGAUAACGUAGGGAAACUUACGCUAGUACCGCAUACGACCUACGGGUGAAAGCAGGGGAUCUUCGGACCUUGCGCGAUUGAAUGAGCCGAUGUCGGAUUAGCUAGUUGGCGGGGUAAAGGCCCACCAAGGCGACGAUCCGUAGCUGGUCUGAGAGGAUGAUCAGCCACACUGGAACUGAGACACGGUCCAGACUCCUACGGGAGGCAGCAGUGGGGAAUAUUGGACAAUGGGCGCAAGCCUGAUCCAGCCAUACCGCGUGGGUGAAGAAGGCCUUCGGGUUGUAAAGCCCUUUUGUUGGGAAAGAAAAGCAGCAGGUUAAUACCCCGCUGUUCUGACGGUACCCAAAGAAUAAGCACCGGCUAACUUCGUG